rnacentral:rRNA from 1 species
CACGCCGUAAACGAUGGAUGCUAGUCGUCGCGGGUAUUGACCCCUGCGGCAACGCAGUUAACGCAUUAAGCAUCCCGCCUGGGGAGUACGGCCGCAAGGCUAAAACUCAAAGGAAUUGACGGGGGCCCGCACAAGCGGUGGAGCAUGUGGUUCAAUUCGACGCAACGCGCAGAACCUUACCUGGGUUAAAUCCACCGGAAUCCUGCAGAGAUGUGGGAGUGCCCGCAAGGGAGCCGGUGAGAAGGUGC